rnacentral:rRNA from 1 species
GGAGCAAUCUGACAGUAGAGUGGCGCAAGGGUGCGUAACGCGUAAGUAACUUGCCCCAAGGUAAGGAAUAACGUCGAGAAAUCGGCGCUAAUACCUCAUAAUGCAGCGGAUCCGCAUGGAUAUGUUGUUAAAGGUUUACCGCCUUGGGAUAGGCUUGCGUCUGAUUAGCUAGUUGGUGUGGUAACGGCACACCAAGGCUACGAUCAGUAACUGGUCUGAGAGGAUGAUCAGUCACACUGGAACUGAGACACGGUCCAGACUCCUACGGGAGGCAGCAGUGAGGAAUAUUGGGCAAUGCUCGAAAGAGUGACCCAGCAACGCCGCGUGGAGGAUGAAGGUAUUCUAUAUCGUAAACUCCUGUGAGAGCAGACGAAAGACAGAUUAUUAAUCUGGAUGACUGUAUGCUCAGAGGAAGCCCCGGCUAACUACGUG